UUAUAUAUCUCCAUGAUAGAAGUUGGAAAAUACUGAAAACUGUAGAGGAGUUCGGAGAAACAACCUAUAAUCUCAUUAUACAGAAAUAAUUUUCUUCCCUUUUGCUUCUCCACAUUUUGGCUUAGAUCAAAUUUAGAAAUGAUUUUCUUAACGUUUUUGGUAUUGUGUUUUUAGAGUAUCAAGAUGUUGCUGCAUAUUCUGAUUUUUAUGUAUAGUUGUGACAGGAACACCCACAAAAAUAAUUGUUCUAGAAAAGAAUUUGUUAACAAAUAUUUUCUUCCAGGAAGUGGUGUAUUAGCGUUUUAAAAGAAACAUUUCUGGACGUCAAAGUAGACAUUGGGCUUAUAUCAACAGCUCAAUCUUUUUUCAAAUACGCUUUAUUUUUAGGGCAGUGUAAAGUUAAUAGUGAGGCAUAGUGGAAAGUACAGAGAGUUCCUACAUUCCCACCUCCCCAAAUGCACAGCCUCCUCCACUAUCAGCCUUCCUCACUAGAGAGGUACAUUUGUUACAAUGGAUGAACCAACAUUGACUUAUCACUGUCACCCAUAGUUUAUAAUUGACAUUAGGGACCAUUCUUGCUGUCGUAUAUUCAGUGAGUUUUGACAAGGGUGUAAUGGCAUGUGUCUACCAUUAUAGUAACACACAGAGUAGUUUCAUUGCCCUAAACAUCCUCUAUGCUCUGCCCAUUUAUCCUUCCCCACUUUUCAACCCCCAGCAAUCACUGAACGUUUUGAUGUCUCUAUAGUUUUGCCUUUUCCAGAAUGUCAUAUAGUUGGAUUCAUAUAGUAAGUGGUCAUUUGAGAUUGGUUUCUUUCACUUAGUAGUAUGUAUUUGAGUUUCCUCUAUGUCUUUUAAUGGCUUCAUAGCUCACGUGCUUUUUUUCUGCAACAAAAGCCACAUUCAAAGAUUAUUGCUUUCAUUGCUGAAUAAUAUUCCACUGUGUCGAUGUAGAGGUUUGUUUAUCCAGGCACUUACGAGUCUAUAGUAACCAGUGUGGAGCCUGGGGAAGCCAUAAAUGGCCUGGUUGUGGCGAAGGCCUGGAGCCUAUGUCGAUAGGAGCCAUGGAGGUUGGAGGCAUUAGAUCUUAGAGCCAUAGGGGAAGGCCUGGAGCUUGGGUUGACAGGGUCUGUCCCAUAGCCUGUGGCUAUAGAAACCUGCCUGGUGUUGAGUUCACUGAAUUGUGCCUGGCAUUGGAGUUGAUGUUGAAGUCAGGUGUUACAUUUACUCUCCUCUCUGCACAUACAUAGUAUCUCUUUCCAUGCUGCACUACCCAGGUUUAGGGGCGGGGUAAUGCAGAUAAUAGAAAACUCUCUUUUAUACUCUAUUUUAUGCCGUUUUUCUUACUUUUCUACUCCACAAACGUGCUAUAACCUCUCACCUGGAUUCCUUGUCUCUUUUGAAGACACUUUGAUGCACGGAUGGCUGUUCAAAUUGAUGUUUCUGUGAAGGAAUAAGUGCUGAAAAGUUCUGUUUUGCCAUUUUGUCCAUGGCAUUCUUCUCUGUUAACUGAAAAAAUAUUUUUACUGAAUAACAUAUUGUUAACAAUUGUCAGACCCUUGGUUUAGCUCUGGAAGUUUCUCCUUUAGAGCAAGUUCCUUUCAUAGUUCUCUAUAGAAAGACUAUAGUUGUAAAAUGUUGGUAGAGAUGAUAUUUUGUGUGUAGAAUUAAGGACCGAUUACACAUAAAUGUUUAGCGGACAGUAAACAUUUGUGAGUAAUCUGUUCUUACACACAAAAAGAAGGUCUAUAGCUUUAGGAAAGGGAAAAUUAUCAAGGUUAUUCAGACAAUAUAAAAUGAGUUGAGAAAAUUGAAGGGAAUGUUUAUACUUGAAUGAGACCUCAUGGAGAAAGACAAAAUAAGGAAGCCAUGGGAGAAUAUUUGCAUUCUCGGAACCACAAAAGUGAGGAAAGCCAAGAGCACAGCUGGAGUUGCACCAGAUCAAGUAGACAUUCCAUCAGAGCCUGAACUGAGAAUGCACCAUUCCUAGUCACCUUGAUAACAGCCCCAUUUUCUGUUAAUAAUACUCUAUGAGAAAAAUCUUGCAAAAAUAGUCAGAAAAGGCAGAGUCACAUGCGGUUCAGUGUGUUCCACCUUGGCAGACGGUCUUAGGAGGAGUUUUGGAAGGAUCGUGCUGCAGGCAAUGGAUGAGAUAAUGAUGAGAAAUUUUCCAGCUCUGUAUAAAAAGGCAAGCGAAAUAUAUGCUUGUGAAUUUUUGGCUGCUUUUUUAUGCUGUAUUUUCAGAUCAAUUUUAUCCCAGUUAAUGUGAAUAUAAACUCUGAUUGUUAUGGCUAUCUCUCGUGGGGUGUCUAUUAUUUUGUCAGAAAUUGUAUCAGGAACUUUAUAUCAAUCACUAAAUUACACAUUUCCAAGCUGCAUAUGAAUUAGGUAUUACUAUGAUCAUUUUACAGAUGAAGAAGAUGAGACUCAGAGCAAUACAUAAGUUGCCCAAGGUCAGAGAGCAAGUAAGUACCAGAAAUAAAAGCCAGAUAAAUCUCAUUCCCAUAUCCUUGCUCUUUCAAUGAUGUUUCAGAGUUGAUUACAAAAAGAAUUGUUCUGUGUGCUCAGGAUAAUUUACUACCUACUAAAUUUAACCAUAGGACAGUCUUAUAAACAGGGUAGAGUAUGCAGUUAAGAUAAAAUUUGAGAGGAAAAAAUUAAAUUAAAAUAGUACAUAACCAAUGAUCAGAAUAUUCUCUCAGUAUUUUAGAAAUUUAUGUAAGAAUAAACUAGAUACUGAUAAAAAAGUCACAUUCUUUAUGCACAAAUCUUGUAAGUAGCUACUGUUAAAGAGAGGAUACUAUUUACCUAGAAGAAAGUGGGGUUGUCAACCACUAUAUAACCAUUCGUGGGGUGAAUGUCUUUUUUAUUUUAGGCCUCUGGCUGAUGGAUCCAAGAGGUAGAUGCGUGAUGUCAAAAUAUUCUCUUUUAUAGGUAAUUACAAUUUACAAUGGAAGAUACAGAGGCCACAAGGUAGUAGAGUUGAGUUAUAUUAACAGAAAACCUUGUUAGAGAAAAGAACCACCUCUCACUAUCAUGUUCAAUGGCAAAGAUUAAUAGAAGGUACAGCAAAAUGGACACACAUGCGAGUAUACCCACAUUGAUAUUGGAAGUAACUUUUUUCUUAUAUACUAUAAAUCAUAUCCCAGAAUAUACUCAUAAUGUGUACACUUAUUGGGAUAUUACAAUCAACGUACAAAAUAUGUACCAUAUGUACAUUGACUGUGAUGUACAUAUGUGUACACAAUACAGAUGUACAAAAAAUGUACAUAAUCUGUACAAUAUGUACAUUUAUAUGUACAUAAUGUGUACACAGUAGGUAUGUACAUAAUGUGUACAAUAUGUAAAUAUAUUGUAAUAUUACAAUGAUUUCAUAUAAUCACAACAGCAUAUAUAAUCACAAUACACAUAUAAUACAUAAUAUCAAUAUAAAUGUACAUAUUGCACACAUUAUAUACAUUUACAUUUAUUGUGAUAUGAUAUGUACACAUGUACAUCAUGCACACGUGCAGAUUUGCGGUAUAUACACGUGUACAUAAGUGUGCACAGUAUGUACAUAUGUACACUACACAUAUGUUCAUAUAAUGUAGAUAUGUACCUUCUGUACAGGAGUACACAGUAUGUACAAUAUAUACACGUAUAUACUAGGUACACAUAUAGGUGUAUACCCACUUUGGUAACCGGAGAGAUUUCUAUCUAAUAUACUAAAUAUAAAAUCCCAGAAUGUAGUCAUAGUGUGUACAUUUAUUGUCGUAUUGUGAUAAAUGUAUUAAAUAGGCACAAUCUGUACAUGUACUCUGCUGUACAUAGGUGUACACAAUGCACAUGUACAAAAAUGUACAUAAUCUGUAAAAUAUGUACCUAUAUAUUUCUAUAAUGUGUACACAAUGCAUAGGUACAUAAUGUGUACACUAUGCACAUUCCUUAAAAUAUCAGUGAUAAAAUAUAUAUAAUCACAGUAAGAUAUAUAAUCACACUAAUACAUAUAUGUCGUGUAAUAUCACCAAAAAGUACGUAUUGUACACAUUAGGUAUGUAUUAGGUACAUAUGUAUAGUGCACAUAUUAUGAAAAUAUAUAUGUAUCAUGAUAACACCGUAUGUACACGUAUACAAAUAUGUGCCUACUAUUUAAACAAUGUACACAUGCAGAAAUAGGUGCAAACUACAUACCUAUGCACAGCAGGCUAUUACUACAGUUCUGCUCGUAGCAGCCUCAAUGCCCACCCUGGCUGCUUAAAGACCCCCGGCUAGGGGGCUGUACCCACAGCCCCCGCCAGAGGGCCCAUAACAGCUACCAGGCCCACGCUGGCUGCUUAGGGACCCCCUGCCUAGGGCGCUGUGCCCACAGCUGCUGGGGCCCGGCUAUUUUGAAAAUGUGGUGUAAUAUGAUACUGGCAACCAUAUCACACAGAAAUGAUAAUGUUAUUGUGGUUCUUUACAUAUUAGGCAAUAGUUCUAGUUACACAUUUGGCAUAUUGACAAAAAUGUCAUCCUCACCCCAUUGACAUUAGAAUUGAAAGCAUAGGAGGGUUUCACCCCUUGCAAUGUUUAAUUCAAUAUAAUUGUUUUCUUGUUUACAUUAGUGACCAUAUCAGAGCACGGUGUACAUCUCUUGCAGUAUUCAGAAUAUUUCUCUAUGGGCAGCAACAUUUUUCUCUCCUUAUCUGGAUAUUAGGAAGAAUAUCACAGGACCGGCUUACAGCGCCAGUCACAUCUGACCAUAUCAGAGCACAGUGUACUCCUCUUGCCGUAUUCAGAGGAUUUGCCUAUGGGCAGCAACAUUAUUCUCUCGUUCUCUGGAUAUUAGGAACAAUAUCACAGGACCGGCGGACAGCCCCAGUCAUAUCUGAAAAUAUCACAGCACGGUGUACUCGUCUUGCCGUAUUCAGAGGAUUUGCCUAUGGGCAGAAACAUUCCCCUCUCCUUCUCUGGAUAUUAGAAACAUUAUCACAGGACCGGCAAACAGCCGCAGUCAUAUCGGGAAACCUUUCCUGACCUUUGUAACUAAAGCAAAGCCUUCUCCUGGGUGCUCUCAUUGUUCCAGAGACCUGCCUGCACAGCACUUGUACCAGUUAAACCUUUACAUUAACUGGAGUGACAGAUAUGUUAGUGUCCACUGCUGCCUCGCAGGAAUAAAGCCAGAAAAGGUAAGGCCCUAUCUGUGUGCAUUUCUACAGUCUAGUGUGCUUAGUGAGAUAUUGUUUAAGAAGAAUGAGUUGGACAUGACAGCAUGGCUAGAAAGUGAUGGAUUGAGGAUUUAAACAUACUUCUUUCUGGUUCUAGAGAGUUGGCUGCUAACACUAUUCACUUUGGGACAGUGUCAUUUUAGGACUGAUAAGGGUACUUUUUGCUAAGAUCAAAUAUAUUUUGGGUCCAUCAGAUGAAGUUUGAUAAAAGUGGGUUAUUCAGAACCCACUGAUAAGCAGAGCUGCCUGACCAAGAUUUUCAGAUUUUGCAUCAAAGAGAAAAGUAAUGAAAGUGGGCUGAUGGGAGGGGAAGGAGGGCUGAAAAGUGAAGCAGGAACAGCUAUUUCUAUAGUGCCCUUGACCCUGCCUUUCUCUGUUCUUCACUCUGGCUGAAAUUGACCACCCUGAGUGCGUUCAGAUAAUGAUAAAUUAUCUCUGUCACACUGUGUGUGUGUGUGUGUGUGUGUGUGUGUGUUUGGCUAUGUACAAAAGAGGCAGCUUCUGUGAAUAAAUGAAGCCUUGUAAUUAAGGAAUUUGUUGUAAAUGGCAAGAUGCAUUGGUGCUUGGUCCUUAGUACUCCUCGCUGAGGCCACAUUUCCUUGAACUGGCUUGUAUUUGCCACUGACACUACUAGCAGCAGGAUGGAGGGGAGGAAGGAAGACACCAGGUGUUGCAAUGCUUAGCGCCUGCUUUCAGCUUUGCUGCAAACUAAAACACUGACUGACUUUGGUUAACCCCCUAACCUCUUUGAGCCUCAGUUUUUUCAUCUGAAAAAAUCAAUGAUGGUUUGAAUUUCUUCCGAAUAUGACAUUCAGUUAUCUCUCUCUCCAUUGUGGAAGCACUGGGAGCUAUUGUUCUCCUGUCUCUGGUGGCCGUUAUGACUUCUGCAUUAUCAAGGAGCCCUCUCUAACCUAAAUAACCCCCCAAAGAAAUUAAGUUUGUAAUCAUUUCUGCCUGGUAAGUGAAAUGACAAGAGAAAAGAGCUAGUUGUCAAUAGCCCUGUGGAUGGCGAAUUAAUGGGAUCUGUGCAAACAGUUGCUUAUAGAGCCAUAAUUUGCCUUUCGUUUUCCUUUGCAACUCAGAAAAAAGUGAAUAAUUUUCAAAGAGCCUCUCAUUGAACAUAUUUUUUAAAAACAUGUCAUUGGCAAAAGGGGCACUUGGUUGCUUGAUUGCCAUAUAUCUCUGAGUAUGUGGAACAGUUAUUUUUAGCUGGGGGUAACUAGCUGAGAAGAAAGCUGCAGCAUCUUGGAGGCAGAAGAAUCUUUGUAUGUCUUAUGUUGGCAUGGAGAAAGCAAAGCGAAAGGGCAGAGUAUAAAAGGUUGUUAACUAGAUAAGGGGUCAGCUGCAUUUCCUCUGGCUGCUCAGAGGUGAGGCCCUAAAGCAAUGGAGACAACAUUGUGGGUGGGAAUGUGUUUGCAGGGUCUAAUUAGUUUACCCAAGAAAAGCAAAAAAGAGAAAGGGCUAAAAAUAUGUAGAUUGUAAAAUUCAUGGCUUCAUUUGCUCUUCUUUGCCUUUGAAACCUUUUUAAAACCUUAUAGUAGAACAAUUUGUAAUCCUUGAAGCCUUUUUGCUACCACUCUUGUCAGCUUGUCUAAGGCCACCGUAACUUAUCAGCUACUGGGGAAAGUUGUUUAAACUCUCUAAGCCUCCUUUUUUCCCACUGGUUCACUUAGGGGCACCAAUUCCUAAUGUUUCUGCCUGAGUUAUUGUUUUUCAGAUCCCAUAAUUGUUUGCAUAUGUGCUCUAUAAGAUGCGUCACCUAGCACACGUUGUGGGCAACCUCAGGUGUAGAAGUUAGGACAUCUUUGUGCCUGGAUUUGGCUGUUACUAACAAGACGGAACGGGGAGGAAGGGCAGAGUAGACUACUGUAGAAUUUUUCUGGAUUCUUUUGGUUUCUCCAGAAAAUGAUACUGUUCUUAUAUUUAAAGAUAACUAUCUGCCUAGGCAUAUUGAAAUUCUAAGGUUGACACCACUUUGCAUUGAUCCUAGGGCAGGGUUUCAGGAUUGCUGGAGCAGCAUCAUCCUUUUACAGUAUAGAUUUCAGUCAGCAGGCUGGUCAUGGCCUCCUCAGUGUGCAAUCUUCUUACUGAUGGUGGGCGUCAGUGGGCUGGACUCACAGUUUCCAUCUCUUAGGCUGGGCAGGCCCAUGGUGGCAAUGGUAAAAAUUUCAUGGGAACAUACAUCAGAAGUAAUAAGAAAUCCAUCUUCUUAAAGCCUUCAUAGGAGAUUUCCUGAAGAUUUAUAAAAGGCACUUCAUUGAUCAAAUGACUCUGAUGUUUCCCCUCACUGGAAGAAAUUCAGGUCACCAGCCCACUUAAAAUCAUUGUGUUCUCCUUUUGCAGUAACCUCUGCUCAUAUAAUUUCUUUAUGGCAUAUUAUAUACUAUUAACUUAAUAUCCUGAUUAGUGGAGCUAGCAAACACUCAGUAUCACUAUAAACUGCAGUAUCAUAACUGACUUCCUUUAAAAAUCAUCUAAUGUUUCUUUAAAAUCACUGGUGCUUUUGUAAAGUAGUUCAUAUUUAGGAAUAUGAACAUUUUAUCAUGCUGGAAAAUUAUUUGAAUUCCUUUUCAUUUAAAACCUAUAGCUUUCUAUUUAAUCUAGCUUUCACAAAUAUUUUAUUUGCCCACUAUAGAAAAAUCGAGUUUAGAGAUAAAUGUAAAGUCACUCAUAGCUCCAUCCAAAAGUCAACAACUCUUAAUAUCAUUAUUUUUGUUCUUGUUCUCAGUAUUUUUGCUGAAUCUAUGUUUCGUAGAGUUUCAUCAUAUGUCAGAUAAAACUGCAUAUAUAUGAGUUUUUAAACAAUACAUUUUUAUUGUCAUAAAUGAAAUACACAUUUAAUAUGGUAUGACUAGGACAUAUAGAGAGAUAUAACAAAGAAAAUUAAAGUCAUUUAAAAUCUUACCAAAUCUAAUAACCAUAAACCUUUCGAUGUAUUUUCUCAGAAUACUUUUUCCUAUGCCUUUUAUAUUUUCUUGAUUAUCAAGUACUUCAAGCGUAUAGAAAAGACAGAAACUAAUAUAAGCAGCAAUGGAAAAUUUUAAAAUAUGGGUAUUUUUCUGCAUGUGUUUCAGAUUGUUUAGUUUUUGUUGUCCUUUGCCCUCCCCACGUGUCCCUUUAUUUUCCUGGCAAAACAAAGCAUUACAGAUAUAGUUGCAGCUUCCUAUACUCCAUUUUAUUUUUCUAAAACUUAUUGAUAUUGAAAUGUCUACCUCUGGUCUACUUACUUUCCCUGCCGAAUAAUACUUUACCAUAUGGAAAUACCACGAUGUACAAUUACAUGCAUAGUGCCAUAUACAUUUGUUUACAGGUUUCUUGGGAAGAAUCUCUCUUACUGUGUUCCCAGAAGAGGGAUUGGUAAAUUGUAGGGGAGGCUUGUCUUCAUUUUUACUAUGAAUUUCCAAUUGUUUAAAGUAGUUGUAACAAUUGGUAUUCCCACAGGAAAUGUGGGGAAACUUGUUUUGUGUUUGGCUUCACUUGAUAUUCCUAGGCUUUUACUUUUUGUUUGUCAAUCUUAUGAAUGUAAAAUGGUAUGUUUUAAUUUAUAUUGUGCGCAGACUUUAUUAUUCGGGACACAUGUAACCUUUCUCAUGCACCACUGUCAUGGAUUUGUUUUCAAUUUAACUCAUUUAUUAAGCACGGAAAAUUGUGAGGUUUCUCAAAGAUGGCGAUGAGAACUGCUGAUGGAUUUGCUGCAUUAGAUCCACCCUCUCCAGCUCUGGCCCUCUAGUGUCAGUAUUUCUGCCUUCCAUUUAUAGUGCUUCCUCUUUUCAGGUUCUGGGAACAUUCUGGCUGUAGAAAUCAGUUGCAGUAAUUGGAAGAACUUUUACUAAAGUGACUUACUUGUCUUCUUACUUGGUAAUUAUGCAGACUGUAAAAUAUAUUUAUGAAAAAAUUCAAGUUAUAUACAAAACCAGACACUACCAAAGCAUAUACAAAGUUCAUGAUCCCUUUUAUUUUUCUCUUCUUCCUCUUCCAAUAUAUAACCACUUGUAGAGAGCCCCUACUAUUUCCUUUGUAUUUAUGUUUAUGUCCAAAUGCAAUAGAUAUUCUCUAACAUAUCUCCUUGGAUCCAUGAGAAGAAGGUGAAUGUAAUUUUUAAAAAUGAAUAUUAUAUCUCUACAUCAGCACAGUAUUGCAUUAUACGGAAAUAAGAGAAAGAAUCUAACUCUUCCAUGGACAUUUAGGUGGCUUGUAGUUUUCUAUUAUUUUAAACAGUGUUGUGGAAAACAUUCUUGUAAAUGUCUUUGGACAUCGAUGUGAAAAUUGUCUCAGGAGAUAUUUGUAGAAAUGCUAUUUACAUGGUCUUUUUUGCCUACUUUAUUCAUUUUUAUUUAGAACAUUUUAUAGAACAUUAGGAAUUGGUGACUUCUAAGUAGGUGUAAAACACAGUACCGGGCCAGGUAUGGUGGCUCACGCCUGUAAUCCCAGCACUUCGGGAGGCCGAGGCGGGUGGAUCACGAGGUCAAGAGAUCGAGACCAUCCUGGUCAACAUGGUGAAACCCCAUCUCUACUAAAGAUACAAAAAAUUAGCUGGGCAUGGUGGUGCGUUCCUGUAGUCCCAGCUACUUGGGAGGCUGAGGCACGAGAAUUGCCUGAACCCAGAAGGCGGAGCUUGCAGUGAGCCGAGAUCACGCCAUUGCACUUCAGCCUGGGUGGCAUGAGCGAAACUCCGUCUCAAAAAAAAAAAAAAAAAAAACAGAAAAAACACAGUACCUGGAUUCUCUGAGCUUUAUGUUCUGUUUGAAGCAGGGGAAGUGACAGUAACUACCUGUUAGGGUGAUUUUAAGGAUUAAAUGAGAUACUGUGUACAAAGUUUAUAGCAUGGGUUUUGGAUCACAGCAGAGACUAAAAAGUUCAGUUUUGCCUCCUCUUAGUCGGUCCCGAACCCAAAUAUACUUUUAAAUAUUCUUUCAGCACAGAUUUUAAAGUUUGAUAGAAAUAGAAUUAUAUAGUGAUCACUCCAUAUGUAAGGUUUCUUUUAGUCAAGAAAAUGUUUUUGAUAUUCAGCCAUGUUGUUGCACAUGUCAAUAGUUCUUUCCUUUUUUAUCCUCCUAUCUCAGGUCUUAAAAAAGGAAUACUGCAAAAAAAAAAUGAAACAAUAUUUCCACUUGUAUUCGGUUUUGGUCUACAGUUGACAUUGUUCUCAAGUAUCACUAACAGGUUCCCAUGGAGAGAAAAAUUUAUUUUCUGUCCACAACAUAACAGGAAUUAUAACAGAUGCAGAAGGCCUACUAGCCCUGUGUGAAAAUCAUCAUGUUGACUAUAUUUCUCAAAAGUUAAACUCAGGUGUAGGGGCAGCUGUCAGUCUUUGUUUCCUCACUAUCAAUCCCACCACUUUUAUUUUUUCAUUUGGGGAAAAAUAAUAAUGACUGUAAGAACAAUGAAAAAAUAAUAAAAGGACAGUAAAAAGGUUGAAUGCACUGGCUGUGGCAGGGAGCAAUCAGAAAUGGUUUGUUAUUUCCCUUCACUUUAUCAAAGUUGCUACGUGGACUCAUUCUUACCCACCUGUUGGGUAGAAUCUUUGAUAUUUUCUAUUUCACUGAGCAAUUUAAGAUAUUAAGAAAUUCUGUCUAGUUCAAAACAGGAGCAGAAAACCAAGCACCACACUUUCUCACUCAUAAUUGGGAGUCGAACAGUGAGAACACAUGGACACAGGGAGGGAACAACACACAUUGGGGCCAGUUGGGGGUCAGAGGAGGGUGAGACGGGGAGACCAUUAGGACAAAUAGCUAGUGCAUGUGAAGCUUAAAACCUAGAUGAACGGUUGAUAGGUGCAGCAAAGCACCAUGGUACACAUAUACCUAUAUAAUAAACCUACACAUUCUGCACCUGUAUCCUGGAACUUAAGAAAAAUCCUGUUUAGUUUAAUUUCCAAACUCAAAAAUCUCAUUCAGCUGAAAACUUAACCCUUUUUUACAUAUUUUAACACAUAAAAUAAUCAACAAUGAAAACAGGUAGAGGUUGAGCAUCUCUGAUCCAUAAACCCCAAAAUCCAAAAUAUUCCAAGAUCUGAAAUUCAUCCACAUCGAUGGCUGAGAUAGCGAUAUGUGUGCUUUCUGAUGGUUCAAUGUAUACAAACUUUGAUUCGUGCACAAAAUUGCUAAAAAUAUGUAAAAUUUUAUUUGCGUUAUGUGUAUGAGGUGUACGUAAACAUAGGUGAAUUUUGUGUUUAGACUUCAGUUAUAUCUUUAAGAGAUCUCUUUAUGUAUAUGUAAAUGUUCCAAAAUAUGAAAAAAGUUUAAAAUCCAAAACACUUCUAGUCCCAAGGAAUUCAGAUAAGGAAUAUUCAACCACUACAUCUAAUAAGUCAUGGAUACUUUAAAAUGAAAUUUUAAAAGUAUUUAAAGAGUCCAAAAGACAUCAGGAGAAAAGGGACAGGACAAAAAGUGGGGAAGGGGAUGCAAACAAAAACAAACAAAAUAAUGAAACAAACCAUUCAAUUGUAAGCUUGAAUCCAAUUACAUCAUUCAACCACUAAUAAAUCUAUAUUUAAUAACGUUAAAUGUUAAUGAAUCAUACCACAUACUCCAAUUCAAGUGCAGAGAUUGCCAGAAUUGAUUUAAAAAACCCACAAGACCCAGUGCUGUAUAUGAAAUACACGCUUUGAAUAGAAAAAAAAAGACAAAUAUACGUAGGUCUAAAUAAGUACAUUUGAAUUUUUUUAAGACAGUGUCCUACUCUAUCUCCCAGGCUGGAGUACAGUGGUGCGAUCUCUGCUCACUGUAAACUCCGCCUCCUGGGUUCGAGCAAUUCUCCUGCCUCAGCCUUUUGAGUAGCCGGGAAUACAGAAACCUGCCACCACGCCUAGCUAAAUGUUGGGGUAUUUUUAAGAAAGCUGGGGUUUCACUGCAUUGGAUAGGCUUGUCCUAAACUUUUGACCUCAAGUGAUCUACCUGCCUCAGCCUCCCAAAGUGCUGGGAUUGCAGGUGUGAGCCACUGUACCUGACCCUAAAUGAGUACAUUUAAAAUGAUAUACUAUGCAAACAGUCAGUAAUGGAAGUGUGAAGAAGCUAUAUUAAUACCAAAUAAAAUAUGCUUAAGUCAAAACAGUAUUUCCAAAGAUAAAGAGGGAUAGUUCAUGAUUACAGAAGAGUCAUUUCAUCAAAAAAUGGAUUAAAAAUAAUUUGUGCGUCAAUUUGCACAAAACAAAAUUGAACUAAAGGAAUAAACAAACAAUCCACAAUUUUUAUUAGUGAUUUUAAUACCCAUCUCCCAAGCAAUUGAUAGAUAAACUAGACAAAAUCUUAGUCAAGAUGCAGAUGACCUGAACAACACUCUCCACCAUCUUAAACAAACCAAUGGAAGACGACACCCAAUAACCACAGAAUACUGUAUGUUUCAAGUACAUGUAGUGUUCACUAGGAUAGGUCACAUGCUAGGUCGUAAAACAAGACUGAAUAGAUUAAAUCAAAUUGAAUUCAUGCAGUGUAUGUUACCUGACCACAAUAGGAUUAAAACAGAAAUUAACAAUAAGAGAACUAGGAAAGCUCCAAGUACUUGGAGAUUAAAUAUAAUACACAAGCCCAAGAAGAAAUCAAAAGAUAGAAUAUAAAAUAUUUUAUUCUAAGGGAUAAUCAAAAUACAACAUGCCAACACUUAUGAAUUACAGCUAUGGGAGUUCCCAGAGGGAAGUAUAGCCGUACAUGCUUAUACUGCAAUAGAAGAAAAAGAGAAAGGUCUAAAAUCAAUGACGUAAAUGUUCACCUAAAGAAGAUUGAAAACACACACACACACACACACACACACACACACACAGAGCAAAGAAAACUCCAACGAAGUAGUAAGAAGGAAACAAUAAAGGUAAAAGUGCAGAGAUAAACCAAAUUGAAGACAGACAAAAUAAUAGAGAAAACUAACAAAGCAAAGAAGCUGGUUGUUUUAAAAUAUCAACAUUAAUAAACCUUAAGCUACUCUGAUCAUGAAAAAAAGAGAGGAAACACAAAUGGUCAGUAUCAAUAUCAGAAGUGAAAGCGAAGUGAAACUAUCACUACAGAUCCUGCAGACGUGAAAAGGAUAAUAAGAGACUAUCAUAAACAACGUCAUGGUGACAAAUUCUGCAACUUAGAUGAAAUGAACAAAGUAUCUGAAAAAUACAACAAAAACUAACACAAAUUUUGCAGAAAAAUGUGUCUGGGAAAAUUAAAAGAUACAUUAAACAAAAGAAUAUGCAAGCCACAGCCUGACAGAAAAUGGUCAUAAAUCUAUUUUCAGUAAAGAGCCUGAUUUCCAGAAUAUAGAAAGCAGUUUUAUAACCUGAAAAUAAGGCUGGGCACAGUGGCUCACACCUGUAGUGCCAGUACUUUGGGAGGCCGAGGAGGAUGAAUGGCUUAAGGCCAGGAGUUUGAGACUAGUCUGGGCAACAUGGUGAGACCCUGACACCUAGUAUAAGUACAAAAAAUUAGCCUUGUAUGUUGGCUAAUAUCAAUACAAAAAGUUAGCCUGGUAUCAGCUAAUUGGGAGACUGAGGUGGGAGGAUCGCUUGAGCCCAGGAAGCAGAGGCUGUAGUGAGCCAAGAUUGCACCAUUGCCUUCCAGCCUGGAUGACAGAACAACUAAAAGAAAAAAAGAUAACAAUUACUGUUUAGAAGGGGAAAAAAUUUGAGGAGCCACUUUGCAAAGAUAAUAUACAAGUGGGACAAAAUGGUUAACAUCAAGGAAAUGCAGAUUAAAACCACAGUGAGAUACUACUACACACCCCACAAAAUAACUAGGUUGGGAAAGACUAAACACCAAAUGUUGGCAAGAAUACAGCACAACUAUAACUAUUGCUAAUGGGACUAUAAAACAGUACAACUACUUUGUCAAAUUUCUGGAAUUUUCUUAUAGAACGAAUAUACAUCUCAUCUAUAAUAAAUUUCCGAGUUAGGAAUCUACCCCAAUUAGUGAAAAUACAUGUUAAUAAAAAUACUUAUAGAAGACCACAAUAGCUUUACUCAUAAUAAUCAAAAGUUGAAAAUAUUUCUGGUGACCACAAAUAGAGGAUCAGGUAGCGAACUACGUUAUUUCAUAGCAUGAAAUACUACUCAGCAAUAAAAAUGAAAGAGAUACUGAUAUGUGUAACCUGACUGAUAAAUAUAAAAAUUAUUUUGUGGACUGAAGGGAGCCUUAUAUAUAGGGUUAUCACAACAUGAUUCAAGUUACGUGGAAUUUCUAAAGUUGGCAAACUUAGUCUACAAUGAAAAAAAUCCAAGGGUACAGAGCUGGAGACUGAGACAAGUCAUGAGGAAACUUUCUGGGAUUGUAUUAGUCCGUUUUUUCACUGCUGAUAAAGACAUACGUGAUACUGGGUACUUUAUUCAAAAAAGGUUUAAGGGACUCACAGUUGCACCUGGCUGGGGAGGCCUCAUCAUCACGGCAGAAAGUCAAAGGGACAUCUUACAUGGUGGCAGACAAGAGAGAAAUGAGAAACAAGCAAAAGGGCUUUCCUCUUAUAGAAGCAUCAGCUCUUGUGAGACUUAUUCACUAUCACAAGAACAGUAUGGGGGAAACUGUCACCAUGAUUAAAUUCUCUCCCACCAGGUCCCUCCCACAACACGUGGGAAUUCUGGGAGCUACAAUUCAAGAAGAGAUUUGGGUGAGGACACAGCCAAACCAUAUCAGGGAUUAUAGUAAUGUUCUUUAUUUAUAGAGUUUUGGGUUACACAUAUGUAUACUUUUGUCAAAAUUCGGUAAAUACAUACUUAAAAUUUUUGCAUUUCAUCAUUUGUAAACUUUACACCAAAAGGAAAAAAAAAGGUACCAAAUUCUAGUUAAUGCACGUUGAGUUACUGAUGUCUGCAAUUUACUUUAAAAUGCCUAAAAACUAUAAUGGAUUACUGGAUGGAUAGAAAGAUGGAUCUAUGGAUGGACAUGAGAUAAAACAAGACUCCAAGUUGGUGAAGAUACAGUUAAAGUGUUCACUGUAAAGUUUUUUCAACUUUGCUGUACGUUCAUAAAUGUUCAUGAUAAAAUAUCAACGAAAACAAUUUUCAUCCCUCCUCCUCUGUGACAGCCUCAGCCUGAGAAACCCACAGUGGGAAGGGAAAGGAGGGCAGUGUGUUUGUUUAUGACCACCCACCCUCACUUCUUAGCAGUGCUUUCUGGCUCUUCUAGGGUUGGAUAGGGGCAGGGAGAAAGGAGAGACAGAGGAACAGAUAGGGCCUUAUUGAAUAGUUCAGCUGUAUUAUGGUGUCACAUUUUAGGAGCAGGCAUGCAGUUUUGGGCCCUUUCUCAUGCGUUCCUGAGAAAUUCUCCUGGUAGGGAUCUCUGACAGCAGUUCACUACCUCAGGUAAUACAGUUUCUAGGAAGCCACUAAGAGCCCUCCUACCACCUGCCUCUGGGGGUCCUGGGCAGCCUCUUCCUUACCCCUGGCAGGAAGCUUUUCAGGGCAGCGUCCUCCUUAAAAUCAAUGGUUUUCUCUAUUAUGGAAUUCCUAUUUGGCCCAUAUAAAACAUGCAAACACCUUUGUUUGGCUUAACUUGAAGUACGGGCCACUCCCAGCUCCAGUCUUUAUCGCUUCUAUCUGCCCCAUUAUUUCAACUUGGCCACAGCCUUUUGCCUUUGGAUUGUAUUCAGAUGGGAUAGCAGUUCCCGUGUUCUCCAGCCUUCAGGGACGUGAGCUAAUCGGUUUGAAUGGUUAAUUAGAAGUUCCUGUUCAGGCAGCUCAUUAGCUUUAAAAUGAAGCAGCAGCCUUUUCCCAUCCAUGAGAAUUGGGUGAGGAGGGAGUUCAUACAACACACAACCCUUUCAAAAGUCUUCAGUGUAAUUAAAAAAAAAUGCCCAGCGUGGUGGCUCACAUCUGUAAUCCCAGUACUUUGGGCAGCUCAGGUAGGCAGAUCAUAAGGUCAGGCUUUGGAGACUACCCUGGCAAACAUGGGGAGACCCUGUCUCUACUAAAAAUUCAAAAAUUAGCUGAGUGUAGUGGUGGGCCCCUGUAAUUCCAGCUACUCAGGAGGCUUAGGCAGGAAAAUCACUUCAACCUGAGAGGCAGAAGUUGUAGUGAGCCGAGAUCAUGCCACUGCACUCCAGCCUCGGGAACAGAGCAAGACUCUGUCUUAAAAAAGAGAAUUUUUAGUCCUGUCCUAUAAAGGUAAGAGGUAGAUAAUAACCUAUUCUGGCAAAACUGGUUCUUGCCCACACCAUUUGAAAAGUCUAGAACCUGAUUGUAAAUGAAAGGAUUCUUGACAACUACUGUUUGGCGCUUGAUCUUUGACUCCAAUGCCAAACUUGGAGAAGACAGCAUGUUUCCACUGUUCUGAAAACAGUAGCUAAUCUGUGCUUCCCUUUGCUGUCUCGAGUAUAGUAAAACAUUUAUGAGGUACAGAGGCUUGCAGAAAAGUAUUUUAGAAGUGGAGUCAGAACUCUACUGUGGAAAGGGGGCUGAGAGAAUCAUGAAUCCGAUUCCUUCUCUUGCCAGAGGAGACUCAGAUUUGUGAUGUGGUUUCUCUGGGUAAACAUGAGUCAGUAACAGAAGAGAUCAGUAAAACUCUGGUCCACUGCUUAGAAAUUAGUGUUUUAUGACCUCCCCUCUGCCAGGGAAAUAAGCAUGAAGACAGCGCUUUUCCUCCCACUAUUUUUAAAACUCAGAUGAGCAGGUGUUCUAUUGCUCCACGUGGUGCGCUUUUGAACUGAGAGGGACUGAGCACGGAGAAGCCCGAGUAGCACUGCCCCCACCCCGUGCCACCUGAAACUCAUCAUGCUGCUUUCUUUGGAGCGGCUGCCCAUUUAAAAGAAGACUUAAGGGGUUUCAUUUGGCUCUGUGAUUCUGCUGGAAGGAGGCCUGAGUAAGGUUGAGCUGAGGUUGCAGAGGAAAGGAGCCGUUUGUCCCACAACCUGAACAAAACAGAACUAUGAUGAAGCAGCAUUGUCCAUCUGAGGUAAUACCCAAGGUACAUUGCCUCAUGUCAAGAAAAUCAAGGACGUGAAUACACAUGGAGUGAGGUUAAGAAUGGAGGUUUUACAGGCAAAAGAAGAAAAGAGAACAUCUCUCUCUUCUGCAGAGAGAGAGAGGGGCUUCUGAGUGUGUUUUCUGGUGAACUGCACAAGGUUUUAUAGACUUGUUGAGGAGGUGGUGUUUGAUUUACAUAGGGUCCAAAUAUGGGUUGGACCAGGUGAGAGCUUUACAUAGCUCGUGAAGAAGCUGGCUAUCCACCCGAAUCUUCUUAUGCAUAUAGGUUUUCUACUUGGCCAGUGCAUGUUGUCUGUCCCUUACUGCACUUGUGGUUGAUAAAGAAAAAGGAAGAUAAAGCCGUCAGGUUGAGCAUGCCUGGCACCCAAGUAGCCUCCUAUUGUUACAGCUGCUGGCAUUCGCCUGUGCAAGCUUCCAGCUUGCUUGUCUAUAUCUGCAGCUCGAUUUUACAGGCCGCUCUUUGUUAGAAAUGGUUUUGGGGCUGCUUUUUAUUCAAAGGGAAACCUUACCAAAGACUUCCUUACUUUCAAUCUCUGACGAAAUAAUUUCUUUAGAACUCCUGUAUCAAUGGGACUUCUGGAUUACAGUUGAAGUAGUUUUGGCUGAUCAUCAACUCUGCCUCCACUUAAUAGUGAAUGCUUUUAUUUUCUAUGUUUCAAGGAGGGUCUCUUUGCUUCUUGCCCUUCUUCAGAAUAGCAGUGUGGAAAUUGCACUUAAGAACACCUGUUGGGCACAGUGGCUCACACCUGUAAUCCUAGAAAUUUAGGAGGCUAAUAUGGGAAAAUUGCUUCAGGCCAGGAAUUUGAGAGCAGUCUGGGCAACAUAGCGGUACCCCAUCUCUCAAAAAAAAAAUUACUGGGUGUGGGGAUGCAUACCUGCUGCCCUGUUGGCCCAGCUUCUGUCAGGAGGCCAUGGCAGAAAGGUCACUUGAGCUCAGGAGUUUGGGGCUGCAGUGAGCUAUGGUCAUGCCACUGUACUCCAGCCUGGGUGACUCCAUCUCUUGAAAAACACAACAAAAACCAACAAAAGCCCACUUUCUAUCUGGAAUGGGAACCGGUAGAGCCUUAUGACAGUGAGUGACUCAGAGGCAGAGCAAACGUUUGGCCACAGUUUUAAUGGUGCAAUUUGAACCCUGUGUUUGUCCUACUGACCAAGGCUGUGGCUGUCUUAGGGUCCUCCAUAUGGUCUGGCCUUGGAGGAGAAGAAACUGUUCUUGUUCAACACUUUCUGUUUGUGGAGCCCAAGAUAAGAACUUUAUGUUUGUUUCACAGAUGAGAGGGUGCUAAAUAGCUUGCUUAGAAUCACACAAGUCAGAGGUAGGAGGGCCACGUUCUUUAACCAGUUUGUGAGUAGAUGUCUUCCCAAGAACGUACAGCUGAUGGCAUAAUGCUGACCUUAAGCCUAGGUUAAUCCAAUUGAUGUUUAAUGAAAAGCAAUAGAUUUCCUCCUGUAGCCCAAGAAAGAGCCACUUGACUACAGCUAAUCGGUGAGAGAAAUACCUCUAUCAAAGGAAUAGGUGAUCAGAAUUCAUGGGCAGCAAUGGGACAUAGGAAUGUGGAAAUGAGAGGUGUGGGCUCCAGGGAUGCUGGAGAAAACUCCUCCUCCAGUAUUCCCUAACUCUCGAAUGCUGCUGUCUUUUCAAUACAAAUACAAACCCACUCUGUUGUUUUGCACUGCCCCGUGCCCUGAAUCUCUUGUUUGUGGACUGUAUCCUCCAGUAACUUAUUCAAGCAAGGAUACACUGAAGCAAAUUGUUCUGAAAUAUGACUUUAUUUCUUCUUACACUUACAUGACUGGUGGGGCAUAGAAUUUUUGAUUGAAAAUAAUUUCCCAUUCAAGUUUUAAAGAUACUACUCCAUUAUUUCCCAGCUUCUGGUAGUGCUGUUGAGAAGCCUGAAAUCAUUCUGAUUUCUGAUUCUUUGUAAAUACUGUUUUUUAAAAAACUUUUCUGAAAACUUAGGAGAGCUGUUUUCCUUUGUCAUAUAUUGCAGAUUUUCAAGACAAUGUUCCUUGGUGUGAGUUUGUGUUCAUGUGUUUAAACCUAGGAGGUUAUGUUAUUCAACUUGAGAAGUUGCCUUUUUUUUUAACUUUUAUUUAAGUCCAAAGGUUCAAGCACAGGUUUGUUAUUUAGGUAAAGUCUGUCAUGAGGUUUGUUGUACAGAUCAUUUCAUUACUCCGGUAUUAAGCCUAGUCCCAUUUAGUUGUUUUUCCUGAUCUUCUUCCUUCUCUCAUUCUCCACUCUCUGAAAGGCUCUAGUGUGUGUUGUUCUUCCGCCUGUUGUAUGUUCCUGUGUUCUCCUCAUUUAGCUCCCACUUGCAAGUGAAAAUAUCUGGUAUUUGGAUUUUGUGUUCCUGCGUUAGUUUGCUAAGAAUAAUAGUCUCCAGCUUCAUCUAUGUCCCUGAAGAGAACAUGAUCGCAUUCUUUUGUGGCUGCCUAGUGUUUUUUGUUGUAUAUGUACCACAUUUUCUUUAUCCAGUCUACCAUUGAUGGGCAUUUAGCUUGAUUCCAUAUUUUUGCUAUUGUGAACAGUGCUGCCAUGGACAUAUGCGUGCACAUGUCUCUAUAACAGAAGGAUUUAUAUUCCUUUGGGUACAUACCUAGUAACCCAUUACUAGGUUUGCUGAAUCAAAUGGUAUUUCACUCUUUAGGUCUUUGAGGAAUCAUGACACUUUUUCACAAUGGCAGAACUAAUUUGCAUUCCCGAAUACAGUGUGUAAGUGUUGUUUUUCUCUCUAACCUUGCCAGUAUGUGUUUUUUUUUUUUUUGCUUUAAUAAUUGCCAUUAUGACUGGUGUGAGAUGGUAUCUUAUUAUAAUUUUCAUUUGCAUUUCUCUAAUAAUCAGUGACGUUGAGCUUUUUUAAUAUGAUUGCUUGUUGCAUAUAUGUCUUGUUUUAAAAGUGUCUGUUUAUGUUCUUUGCCCACCUUUUUAUGGGUUGUUUGUUUUCCUCUUGUAAAUUGAAUUUCCCUACCGAUGUUUGAUAUUAGAUUUUUGUGGAAUGCAUAGUUUACAAACAUUUUCUCACAUUCUGUAGGUUGUCAGUUUUCUCUGUUGAUAGUUUAUUUUGCUGUGUGAAAGUUUCUCAUUUUAAUUUGACCCCAGUUUUCAAUUUUGCUUUUGUUACCUUUUCUUUUGGCAUGUUCAUGAUGAAAUCUUUGCCUGUGCUUAUGUUUUGAAUGGCAUUGUCUCGUGUCUUGCAGAGCUUUUAUAGUUUUUGGUUUUACAUAUCAGUGUUUAAUCUAUCUUGAGCAAAUUUUUGUAUGUAAUGUAAAGAAGGGGUCUAGUUUCAGUCUUUUGCAUAUGGCUAUCCAGUUAUCCUGGCAUCGUUUAUUGAAUAGGGAGAAUCUUUUCCCCCUUGCUUGUUUUUGUUAAGUUUGCCAAAGAUCAGAUAGUUGUAGAAGCUUGGUUUUGUUUCUGGAUUCUCUAUUCUGUUCCAUUAGUCUAUGUGUUUGUUUUUGUACCAGUACUAUGCCGUUGUUUCCUGUAGCCCUGUAAUGCAGUUUGAAGUCUGGUAGCGUGUCGCUUCCAGCUUUGCUCUUCUUGCUUAGGGUUGCCUUGGCUGUUUUUGGUUCCACAUAAAUUUUUCAAAAGCUGGUUUUCUGAAAAAAAUAAUAAAACUCAACCUACUUCUUAACAUUUUUCAAGAACCCAAAUGAAAUCAUGACUGCUCUUGGAGAUGGCACUCUGUAUGUUUCAAUUUACUACCCAGUAACUGGUCUAUUAAAAUCAUACUGGUUAAAAAAUAAUAAACUUGAAGCUAGACCAAUGAAGGAGAAAGGGAAGAGAUUCAAAUAACCACCAUCAAAAACAAUAAGGGCAAUAUUACCACUGACCCCACAGAAAUACAAACCACCCUCACAGAAUAUGAUGUACAACUGUAGGCACUUUUUUUCUUUAAUUUUGAGAUGAAGUUUUGUGCUUGUUGCUCAGGCUGGAGGACAAUGGUGAGAUCUCGGCUUAGUGCAACCUCUGCCUCCUGAGUUCAAGCUAUUCUCCUGCCUCAGCUUCCUGAGUAGCUGGGAUGACAUGCAUGUGCCACCAUGUCUGGUUAAUUGUGUAUUUUUAGUAGACAUGGGGUUUCUCCAUGUUGAUCCAUCUUGUCUUGAACUCCCAAUCUCAGGUGAUCAAUCCACCUUGACCUCCCAAAGUUCUGGGAUUGCAGAUGUGAGCCACUGAACCUGAAAAAAUUGAGAAAUCUAGAAGAAACUGAUAAAUUCCUGGUCACAACCACCCUCCCUGAGAUGCAAGUUUGGUUUAACAUAUGCAAAUUGAUAAAUGUCAUCGUCACAUAAACAGAACUAAAGAAAAAAAUUACCCACAUGAUUAUCUCAAUGGAUGCAAAAACAGCUUUUGAUAAAAUUCAACUUUCAUGUGUGUUAAAAACUCUCAAUAAACCAGGUAUUGAAGGAACAUACCUCAAAAUAAUAAGAGCCACAUGUGACAAAACCACAGCCAGCAUCAUACUGAAUGGACAAAAGCUGAAAGCAUUCCCCUUAAAAAUUGGCACAAGAUAAAGAUGCCCUCUCUCCCCACUCCCAUUCAGCAUAGCUUUGAGGGUGUUCUUUGCUCUUGGGUUUCUAAUUCUUUUAAUUGUGAUGUUGGGUAGUUAACUUGAGAUCUCAAUUUUGUUUUUGAGAUGGAGUGUUGUUCUCUCAACCAGGCUGGAGUGCAGUGGUGUGAUAUGGGCUCACUGCAACAUUUAUCUCCUGGGUUCAAGCAGUUCUCCUGCCUCAGCCUCCUGAGUACCUGGGAUUACAGAUGAAGAAGAUGAGACUCAGAGCAAUACAUAAGUUGCCCAAGGUCAGAGAGCAAGUAAGUACCAGAAAUAAAAGCCAGAUAAAUCUCAUUCCCAUAUCCUUGCUCUUUCAAUGAUGUUUCAGAGUUGAUUACAAAAAGAAUUGUUCUGUGUGCUCAGGAUAAUUUACUACCUACUAAAUUUAACCAUAGGGCAGUCUUAUAAACAGGGUAGAGUAUGCAGUUAAGAUAAAAUUUGAGAGGAAAAAAUUAAAUUAAAAUAGUAUAUAACCAAUGAUCAGAAUAUUCUCUCAGUAUUUUAGAAAUUUAUGUAAGAAUAAACUAGAUACUGAUAAAAAAGUCACAUUCUUUAUGCACAAAUCUUGUAAGUAGCUACUGUUAAAGAGAGGAUAUUAUUUACCUAGAAGAAAGUGGGGUUGUCAACCACUAUAUAACCAUUCGUGGGGUGAAUGUCUUUUUUAUUUUAGGCCUCUGGCUGAUGGAUCCAAGAGGUAGAUACGUGAUGUCAAAAUAUUCUCUUUUAUAGGUAAUUACAAUUUACAAUGGAAGAUACAGAGGCCACAAGGUAGUAGAGUUGAGUUAUAUUAACAGAAAACCUUGUUAGAGAAAAGAACCACCUCUCACUAUCAUGUUCAAUGGCAAAGAUUAAUAGAAGGUACAGCAAAAUGGACACACAUGCGAGUAUACCCACAUUGAUAUUGGAAGUAACUUUUUUCUUAUAUACUAUAAAUCAUAUCCCAGAAUAUACUCAUAAUGUGUACACUUAUUGGGAUAUUACAAUCAACGUACAAAAUAUGUACCUUAUGUACAUUGACUGUGAUGUACAUAUGUGUACACAAUACAGAUGUACAAAAAAUGUACAUAAUCUGUACAAUAUUACAUUUAUAUGUACAUAAUGUGUACACAGUAGGUAUGUACAUAAUGUGUACAAUAUGUAAAUAUAUUGUAAUACAAUGAUUUCAUAUAAUCAC